rnacentral:lncRNA from 1 species
CUCACAUCUGAUGGAGGAGAUACAACUGUGGUUUCCAGACACAUUCCAGUCUGAAGAAGACAAAAAAAAAAAAAAAAAUUUCCAGAAAUAAUUCAUACAUGGCAAGCAAUGUUGAACCAAGUGAGCCCCGGGCACUGGGGAGACACAUGGCAAAGGCAGGGUCUAAGUAGAGGACUCCAGGCCAGGCCGCCCCUCUUGCAGCCCCUCUCAACCAAGGCUCAGGCUGAAUCCAGGCAGCACGUGGUUAUAGACCCUUCAGCAAGCAAUUAGUAUUCUAAACAUGAAAUUAAUUUCUCCUACAAAUAUGAGAACCUAGUAAUUUGUUUCACUUUUAUUUUAUUGUCAGAUAGGAUUCAUUUUCUACAUGAUUUUAUGGUUGGAUAGGAUUCAUUAGAAAUUUCCCCUCAACUACUUCUCUUUUUAAAAAAAUCCUCCUUCAGCUGCUCGGCCAGCGGUUGAGCUGGCCUUAGCUUUCUUUGCGUCACCCGUUCCCACAGGCUGCCCUGCCAUAGCCCCAGGGUCUGCUCCUCAGUUUCACUUUAAUUUCCCACUCUCAAGAGCCAGGUACUGAAAUGGAGAUAAAUCUUCCUGGAAGCUGCUGCAAUGGGACCUUUGAUAAUGGAGCAGUGGGGAGACUUGAUGGCUCCGGGGCGCCUCUGUAUUAUUUACUGACAUUGUGACCCUCGCUCUCUCAGAAUAACACCUCUAAUUUGUUUAGCACCCACUCUGGGUCACCACAUAACUUUGUUACCUGCUCCUUCUCCCACCUCUGCCAGUGUCCUGCUUACCACAAGGUCACUGGAAACUGACCUUCUGGAAACGUGCUGGGCCUAUGAGAGACAGGUUCCCAGCCUGAGCCUGUGGAAAAUAUUUCUUCAGCCCUGACACAGGCUCCUGCCAACUGACCUCAGAGGUACUCAGAAUUAGGCUCUGGAGCAUCUCCUGUUUUGUUACAUAAGCAAAUGUUUGGGCUUCAUCUCCCCCUCACACUGGGCUCCCUGAGGCAGGGCUGUGUCUCCCCUCAGACUGGGGCUUCCCAAGACAGGGCUGAGCUGAAGUCUCCCCUUCCCCAGCUCAUGGGGAUGGCUCUGCCUUUAUAUCCCAGCCACACUCAGCCACUGACUAGAAAGUGUGAUUUUAGUGCCAACGCCCUGGUGGAUCCAGAGCAUGGUGGCUGGGACUGUCAGUCAGUAUGCCUUCUGCAGGAGUUCUGAGAGAUGCAUUUUCAUGGCCACCACGAGCCAGAUCCUUGCCUCUGAGCCACUAAUCUCAGAAAGCCUGACAACAACCCCCUGUCCUGCCUCUAGUGCCCUGGCAAACAAAGCAGCCUGGGACUCCCUGCCAUGAGGCACC